rnacentral:rRNA from 1 species
UGGGGAAUAUUGGACAAUGGGCGCAAGCCUGAUCCAGCCAUGCCGCGUGAGUGAUGAAGGCCUUAGGGUUGUAAAGCUCUUUCGGCGGGGACGAUAAUGACGGUACCCGCAGAAGAAGCCCCGGCUAACUUCGUGCCAGCAGCCGCGGUAAUACGAAGGGGGCUAGCGUUGUUCGGAAUCACUGGGCGUAAAGGGCGCGUAGGCGGCUUUAUAAGUCGGGGGUGAAAGCCUGUGGCUCAACCACAGAAUUGCCUUCGAUACUGUAUGGCUUGAGACCGGAAGAGGUAAGUGGAACUGCGAGUGUAGAGGUGAAAUUCGUAGAUAUUCGCAAGAACACCAGUGGCGAAGGCGGCUUACUGGUCCGGUUCUGACGCUGAGGCGCGAAAGCGUGGGGAGCAAAACAGGAUUAGAUACCCUGGUAGUCCACGCCGUAAACGAUGAAUGCCAGCCGUUGGGGAGCUUGCUCUUCAGUGGCGCAGCUAACGCUUUAAGCAUUCCGCCUGGGGAGUACGGUCGCAAGAUUAAAAACUUAAAGGAAUUGACGGGGGUCAUAGCUGUUUCCU